GAUGAACGCUGGCGGCGUGCCUAAUACAUGCAAGUCGAGCGAACGGACGAGAAGCUUGCUUCUCUGAUGUUAGCGGCGGACGGGUGAGUAACACGUGGAUAACCUACCUAUAAGACUGGGAUAACUUCGGGAAACCGGAGCUAAUACCGGGUAAUAUUUUGAACCGCAUGGUUCAAAAGUGAAAGACGGUCUUGCUGUCACUUAUAGAUGGAUCCGCGCUGCAUUAGCUAGUUGGUAAGGUAACGGCUUACCAAGGCAACGAUGCAUAGCCGACCUGAGCGGGUGAUCGGCCACACUGGAACUGAGACACGGUCCUGACUCCUACGGGAGGCAGCAGUAGGGAAUCUUCCGCGAUGGGCGGAAGCCUGACGGAGCAACGCCGCGUGAGUGAUGAAGGUCUUCGGAUCGUAAAACGCUGUUAUUGGGGAAGAACAUAUGUGUAAGUAACUGUGCACAUCUUGACGGUACCUAAUCAGAAAGCCACGGCUAACUACGUG
rnacentral:rRNA from 1 species